rfam:Myotis brandtii contig225758, whole genome shotgun sequence.
GGCAGUUCUCAGCUGAUGCCCCAGAAUCGGGCUCCCUCCUCUCUGGUUCCAGGGUGUGUCACCCGAGAACCACU